UCCACGAUCUGCACGUGCCCAGUGUGUGUUCCAGGAAAUGCAAGGAGAGAGUUAUUACUAUUUGGACAAAGGACACAGAGACCUGAAAGACAAAAAAAACCAAAAUGGGAUCAUUUCCAUAACCUCAUCAACUUUUCCAAUUGUGAUCCAGCUGUGGUUAUCCAGAAUCUGGGUGGUUUUGCAGAUCAGCCCAGUCAGUCCAUUACAUCAAAGCUAUUUUAAGAAGAAGUUAAAAGGUCUCCUUAGCAGCUCAGAAAGGGUAAGAGUUUAUCAAAGAUGACAUCUGAGCUUCUGCUCCAUCCAACAGUAGUUCAAACACUAUUAUUGUGUUUGAACUUGGUACUUACAGCACUGGCACCUCUUUCUUUGUCAUGUUUUGUGGCCCAUUUAAGAUAAAUCACACCAAUCCCAGGUGUUCUGUGGGUGCCAAGAGAAUUCCUGAAACCUCAGCACAAGACAAAACCUCCUCCUCCUGCAUCCCCUGCCUGUCAGUCCGUCAGGCUGCUGGAGCUGCAUCCAGGCUGGGACUCCAUGACAGCAAUUCCAUGUUUGCUGCAGGCAGGCAUGGAAACCCUCAGAGAUGGGGAUUCCAAUCCUGAAUAAUGUGGUGGAGAAAACCCCCCUGACCUCUGAGCUGAUCCUCUCCACCAGCCAAGCCCUGCCUGCACCCCUUGUUCCACGUGCAGCACUGUGAGUGUUUGCUGCACCCUUGCUGGCACUCCUCCAGCCCCUGCCAGCCCUGCAGGGCCCUUCAGCAGCUCCUCUGCUCCUGCUGCCACCACUGAGAGAGCCCGAGCCCCUCCCCUGGGCCCAACAACAGCCACAGCCAGGCCUUGCUGUUUAAAAAGAACAGAAUCACUUUGCUCAUUGGGCUCUUUUUAACAGGAGAGGAGAGUUUGCUCAGCACCUCCAGCUCUAUUAGGAAAGAGAAAUGAUGCACUUUACUGGAAUUUGUGUUUAUAAUUAACCUUCUAGUAAAAAUACAGGUUCUUUACAGAAGAAAGCAUACAGCUCUUCAGAAAUCACAUCUAUAACAUGAGCGCAGGAAACAGCUUUUCUGGGCCAAGUAUUUAUAAAUUCUAAUAACCAUUCUAUAAACACAAAAGCAUCUCCAAAGGACAGGACUGCAGUGCAGUAAGUGUUUAAUGACUUCUAAAGGACUGACUGAGGCAGCUGAAGAUAAAUGGCACGUCAAGAACACAAUAAACUUGCUUCCAUUCCCCAGCCCACACAUACAACUAACCUUUAGGGUUGUAGCAGGUUUCAAAGACGUGCAGCUGGUGGGGAUUGUGUGUGAAGGUGAAAACUUUAAUCAUUGAAUCCAAGACAACCACAAUUCUGAAACAGACCAGAAGUUCCAGGGUGGAUAAACCAGGGACACAAACACUCAUUCAGACCUGCACAGACUUUGAGCUGAUUUAACAGCCCAUUCUCCCUGCCCUCCCCCACAAGGGACUCCCAGCCUUGCAGCAGCCAGGCAAUGAUAAGCCUGCAAAGCACUUUUAUCCAGCCCCUCCACCCACGCAUACACAGACUCCAGCUGUUCACAGCUGCUCCUGCUCCAGGGAUCUGCUGGAAUUUUCUGCACUCCCUCAUACCUAGAAACCCAGCAGGAGCCACAGGAGAAUAUUUCCCUACAUUAGGGGAUCAGGAGGUCUUGUAGGCUUUUCACCAAGGCUUCACAGAGCAGUAUACUUAAACUGUGGCCUGUUUACACCCAAUCCCCUGGCCCUAAAAGCUUGUUUCACCUGCUGUGUUACAGCAGGAUCUUUUUCUUUGUGCAAGCAGCUGGAAGUGAGCAGGAGCACAGAGCCAAGCUGGGUGUCUGGACCCCUCUGCUGCACCCACCUGUCUCUUCGCAGCUUCACUGCUUUGACUUCUGUGGAAAACUCUAUCUCAAUGACAGUCUUCUUCUUCAGGUCAUCCCAGAUCAUGACUAGAACAGUGCAGACAUUGCAUUAGACCAUCAGGGCAUAUUCAAAGAUGCACAGCUCCUUUGCAGCUCCCCAGCAGUCUGAUCAAGAGGUUCACCCAGUGGUUAACAGCUGCAGACAGGCACCCUGCUAGCCAGAAGGCACUGAGGCACUAUGUAUCAACCCCUCACUCACACUAGAACUUGUGAGGCAGGAGCUGGUCAACUACAACCACAAAAACUGACAAAAAAGACGUAUCAUUCUAAAGAAAAGCAGCUUUUUUUUUGUUUGCUCUGAGGGUUAUGGAAGAACUAAUGCAGCAGUUGAAAAGAGCAGUACAUUUUCCUACAAAGCUUGCUGCUCCUUGCAGAGCUCUCUGUGAGAAGGUCAGCAGGCCUGGAGCAGUCCUGCAGGUACCAGCCUGUUAGCACUGCACCAGCAGUGAUGCAACCCCCUGCACCACGGUGACUGAAACCUGCAGCAGCAUCCCCUUCAGCCGACCUUCAGGACACCAGCUCAGGGCCUGCUGUGGGAGCUCUGGCAGGGUGACACAGGGCCAGGCAGGCUGUGCAGGCUCCCCCCUCCAGCUCACCUUUGUUGGGUGGGUACUUGGGCUUUUUUCCUCCGCCUACUAGUGCUAAAUAGUUGCAACGAAACAACAUUUCCACAUGGCCGACACCACCUUCUAGAAACUCUGCAAGACAAGUAUUUCAUAUGAAAGUGUCAGAACGGGUUAAAUUGCUGUCUAAUUUUUACCACUGUUACAAGAAAAGCUUGUGUUAUCCAGCACAUUUCUCAGGAAGCUGAGAAGAAGAGCACCUUCCUACCCUGGCUGCCCUUAAGAACCAGAGAAUGUGGAUUCCUUGAAAGUUCUUAAUACUGGAGCAGUAAAGCCUUGGAUUUCAUACAAGCCCUUGUGGUUUCUUCAACAGCACUUCAGAGUGCUGUGUUUCCUUCCUGAACAGUUGUAUUUGAACACUGCCCCUUUCUGCACCAGAUCCUCCUCCUGACUCCAUUAAAGCACUUAAAGCAGGACAGCACA